UUUCUUCCUUGGACGCCGAGAGGGUUGGUCGUGUCCGAUGAUUCUCAAUCAUUAUUGAAUUCCUACGGUAUUGCCGCUUUGGAAACCCAAUACACUGCAGAUUUCUGGAUGCAUUGUUGAAGAUGGCCUUUUAGAUCUAAAAUCCAGUGGAUGCGACAUCUACAACAUGCAUGGUUUGCCACUUUUGACAUGAAGAGGAUAGGAGGGGGCAAUGUUGGCCCAUAAAUGUAACGCAUCAAAAAAUACUUGUAACCAAGGCGACAACAGAAAACAACAUUGAGUAUCAGAUAUGAGUGAGACAAGUACGUGCAACUUGCAUUUGUUUAAAACGCCUUGAAACUAUAUACAUACAUGUAUGGACUAAUAAAAUCUAUAGCCUGCAGUUUAUAUUAUAUUUCAUCUGCAAAAUCCGAUAUCUAACCACAAAAACAAUACAUAUAAUAACAAAACGGAACA
rnacentral:lncRNA from 1 species